rnacentral:rRNA from 1 species
UGGGGAAUAUUGCACAAUGGGCGCAAGCCUGAUGCAGCCAUGCCGCGUGUGUGAAGAAGGCCUUCGGGUUGUAAAGCACUUUCAGCGAGGAGGAAGGGUAGUGUGUUAAUAGCACAUUGCAUUGACGUUACUCGCAGAAGAAGCACCGGCUAACUCCGUGCCAGCAGCCGCGGUAAUACGGAGGGUGCAAGCGUUAAUCGGAAUUACUGGGCGUAAAGCGCACGCAGGCGGUUUGUUAAGUCAGAUGUGAAAUCCCCGCGCUUAACGUGGGAACUGCAUUUGAAACUGGCAAGCUAGAGUCUUGUUGAGGGGGGUAGAAUUCCAGGUGUAGCGGUGAAAUGCGUAGAGAUCUGGAGGAAUACCGGUGGCGAAGGCGGCCCCCUGGACAAAGACUGACGCUCAGGUGCGAAAGCGUGGGGAGCAAACA